rnacentral:lncRNA from 1 species
AUGACUUUGUCCAAUAUUUUCAUGCACUUUUUUUCCAUUAGAAAAAUAUGUUUUAUUAGCUUUUUGUUGACCACAAGAAGUGCAAGGUUUAGGAGAUACUUGUCGUUAAAAAUAUGUUACAUGUAUUUGUGCUAAAUACGGAAUUUGUUCUCCUACUAAGGGACACCAAACAUUUGGCUUUAAUACCUCAAUUUUUAUAGACCUAAAUAUAUCAAUUUUUUGGUAACAUAAGUAUAGUGAUUUUUUUCCCUUUUAUUUUCAAUAUGUUUUUGUUUUUACAGUUUUAGUUUUUGUACUCUUGAAAAUAUCAUUUCUAAAGAAAAAGUAUACAAAAUCUUACUAUAACAGAGCUCUAAUAACCUGUCAAAUACUAAGNNNNNNNNNNNNNNNNNNNNNNNNNNNAACAUCUUUUUCAUAAUGUAAUUAAUCAUAAAGUAAGUUAAAUGGGCAUAAGUUCUUUAUUUACUGCCUCUGAGCCCAGAUUAGAAUGUAAAGAGAGAUUAUUCCCAUUUAAGACAAGACAAUAAUAGGAAAUGGCAAAUUUAGUUCUUCAGAAAGGGAGUGUGAUCCUUAAGGACAUUCAAAACUUUCAGAUGCAUCAAUAGCAUUUAUUUGAAAAGUACUACAGAGAGAAAUNNNNNNNNNNNNNNNNNNNNNNNNNNNNNNNNNNNNNAAAAUCUGAAUAAAAAUAAACUGGUUAAAAAUAUUCUAUCCACAUUUUGAAAAGCCUGGAUCUGCAGCAGUCCCCCAUCUCGUGCAGAACUAGCUUCCUGGAAAACACUGGCCCAUGUGCAGGGUUUACAUCAAUAACCAUAGUUUUAAUUAGUGCUGAAGGACGUCAGAUCUUUCUCUGCACUAGGCUGACCCAUGUGUCCCUUUUCAGAGACAGAGCAUUCCUUCUCUGAGGGUCAUUCGUUAUGUUCAGUGGCACAUGCCUGCUUGCUUCUGUCCUCAUUGUAGUCAGGGUACACAGUCAUCAGUGAGGAGUUUUCCAUCCUAGUAAUAAGGGUCUUCUAGGAUAACGAACUCCCUGCAACAUGUGCAUUAGACAUCAAUAUGGUCCAUGACAGUACCACACAUAUAUAAUAAAAUGUGUUGUGGCAGAACUUGCUUUAGAAACUAAAUGCUAUAUUGACUCAUUAUAACUGAACAUUUUGAUUAAACUUCAUUGGAUUUCACAAACAUCUCAUAAAUCUGUUAUGAAGGAGAAAGUUACUGAUCAUUUCAGUUCAGUCACUCAGUUAUGUCCAGCUGUUUGCAACCCCAUGGACUGCAGCACACCAGACUUCCCUGUCCAUCACCAA